AAGAACUGAUUCAAAUUCUGAGUCUGUCACUUGUCAUCAGUUAUUGACCAAACUACUGAACUUCUCUGUGCAUCAGCUUUCUCAUCUAUGAAAUAAUAGUUGCUACCUCCUAGGAUUGCUAACGCGAUGCAGUGAGAUAAUGCAUUUGAACUGCAAGAUGCCAGACCUAAAAUCUGCUUAGUCAAUGCUCUUAACUUUUUUUUUAAAGGACCAUAACCCAAAGCUGGUGUUUGACUAUGUCACAGGCACCUCUCUUCCUCCCCCGUCUGCCUACUGAUUAUUUUCCCUUUUUCACCCUCAGAAUGUUUUGGAUGAUGUUGCAAGUGCCUGGAACAAAAGCAGAAGGGAAGUGUAGGCGGGCCUGGAGGGCAUGAGCCAGUCUCUUCACUCUGAGUCAUCGUUCAGAAGGCACUGGGGCUGCCGGGCACCGAGGAGGGAGGUGAAGUAAAGGCCCUGUUUUCAGGAAGUUCAGCCUCUGAUUGGGGAGCCAGGAAUCAUGCUUGGGAAAGAAAGCAGGAUUCAAAUCAGACUGGGGGUUGCGCCCUCCGCCACUGCAACUGCCACAGCUACGCACACCCAGGUGCCUGCUCCUGGCCGCACUGUGAUGCCCGUGGAACUGAGCACAGACCUCACACAGCCUCUCCAUCGAGAACCCAUUGCCACCCCUUCCUCUCGGACCUGCUGCCCUGCACUCAUCUGGAGCUGGGGUUCCUCCACACCUUCCUUUCUUCUUUUUUCUUCUUUCUUCUCUAUCUCAAUGCAGCUCCUUCCUCUGAUCUUCCCCCAGUCCUCUACCUCCUUCCACAUUCUUUCAGCUGCAACCUGGGCGCUCAUCAUUUGCUGCCUGGUGGUUAAGGUUCUCUGUAAAUUUUUGUUAACCAAUAGUUACCAGAUUGUUAACUCCUUAAAGGUAGAUGUCUUACUCUGUUGUCUACCAGCACUUAAAAUAUACUCCAAAAAGGAAAUGAAAUAAAUAAAAUGAAAUAAAUAAUAAAGUAAAGUAAAAUAAAAUAUACUCCAUGCCCUGGCCAAUUUUUCCCAAUGGUUGACCCUUGGACCAAAGGGUCUCGGGUUCAAUUCCCAGUCCAGGGCACGAACCUCAGCUGCAGGUUAAGUCCUCGGCCCCGGAUCAAGGUUCAUACAGGAGGCAACCAAUUGAUGUGUCUCUCUCACGUGGACGUAUUUCUUCCUCCCUCUCUCUAAAAGUCCAUGGAAAAAAUACCCUCAGGUGAGGAUUUAAAAAACAAAACAAAACUAUCCUCCCAAAGUGACAGUUGAAUUGCACCAUAGAUGAGUAACACUUCUUCCCCUUCAAGGCCUUAUCCAUACUCCUCCUUCCAACGCCUCUCCCAGAGAAGCAGGAUUGCCUCUUCAUUUACUGAGCAGGAAACUGAGGCCCGGAAAAUAAAAGUAAUUGGUCCAGAGGGGUGAGGAGUGUGAGUGCAGCUGAGGCCAAUGUAGACACAAGCAGACCGUUAAAUCCCUUUAAUUCUCUCCUAAGAGAUAAUAUCUUUAAAUAAAUGUGGAUUUCAAUUUAUAUUCUUAAACAAAUAAGCAAACAAAAUCACAAACGUGGCUGGAACUUUGGUUCUCCACCAAGAAUUUUUUUUCUUUUUCUUUUUCCACCAAAGAUUUCCUCCAAAAGAGGAAAGCGAAAUUUAGCCUCGGAGAAAAUGACUGCCACGUAAAAGUCAUAGGGACCUUUAAAAUUCAGCGUUUUUUAUUCUCUGGAGGUACCCUGGCCAGUCUGUCUCUGCUGUUUCUCGUCAUACUAAUUGCUCUGCCUGAAAGGCAAGUAGGGGUAAAUAUAGCAGCAGUUUCUCUGAUGUUACAUUCUCAGACCAGGUCUGAACAUGUCCUUGACACUGUCCCUUCAGAAGGAAAGAGGCGAGAAAGUAUGUCCUUGCUACUGUGUAUAAGAGAAACUUCUGUUCCCAGCCAUUGCCUGGGCACAGGGGGGAUUGGUGAGUAAUAAAGAAUUAAAAAUAAAGAAGUGAAAGAUGCUAGUGAUUUGUCAGGUUUCCUGUGUCUGGCUGUCCCUGGCAGGCAGGCCAGAGCCAGACCCAGGCAG